GGAGGGAGAAGAUUCCCUAAGCCCAAGGCUGAUGUUCCCACCCCCAGCCCAGAACCCUCGGAGGGCCGAAGGUCAGAGUUCACCUGCAAAGAGCGCAGGGUGGAGAGAGCGGAGAGAACCGGAGCCGCAGAUUCCGCGGGAAGCUUCGCGCUCCCGGCCAGCUCACCUGCUCCGGACAGGCUCCUCAAGAUUUCCGUCCGCUCAAAAGUUUGUCCCCUUCGCAGAGGAUUCCAGAGAAGGCGCGCACUGGACCUGGGGGGGGGGGGGGGGGUGAGAAGCCCGGGAGGGCGCGGGCGCCUGAACUAAAGCGCCCGGAGAAGCGGGGCGUGUGAGCGUUCCCCAAGUGCCGGCGAGGCGAUCCGCGGGGCGUCCGGGAGUGCCGGGCUGCUAGGCCCGCGGGGUGCUGCCGCAGGGGUGCGACCCCAGGGCAGCUGAAAGAAAGCACAGAGCCCUAGGUGCUGGAACCCCGGCUGGUGUGCCCCCGCCCACAACAUUCCCCCGACCCCUUCUGGGGCAGCGCUCAGGAUCCCCACUUGUCGGAAAGAGAGGAUGAGGGUCCCCUAAGCCCCACCCCGCCCCCGCGUUACUACCGCCAUCCCCACCCCGAGCCGAGGGACAGACAAGAAUUGCUACUAGAAAUUCGAUCUAUUGGUACAAGGCACCACGUGCUCGUGGGCUGGCCAAUGACCAGGCCGCCCGGGAUGAGCUAAUAAUGGAAGCAAUUUGUAACUUUCAGUAGCUCUCUAGGCCUAGGUACCGGUGGGAGAGAGGCUGGUGAAGGGGAGACAGCACCCCCAGGUUUUUGGCCCAGCCCAUUUGUCUGGGGGCGCUCGGACCCCCUAGCCCUCCUUUUCCGUAGCAAGCAAUCCCGGGCAGGGCUCUUCGCCCAUCCCUGACCGCCAGCACAGCCAGGUAAGCUGGUCCUGGCUCCUCGACAUCCACUUCUUCAGGCACCUGCGGUCCAGCUCCCUCCUUGCUCCAUCAGACAACUGCAAUCCAAUUUUGUUUCUCUCUUAAUCGAAGCUCAUCUAGCCUCCUCCAUCUCAGAAGCCGUCUCAGCUUUACCUCACCCCUCCCCCAGCCUCAGAGGGGUGCUGAGGAGGAAGAAGCCACUGUCCUGUUCCUCCACUGCCCCCACUGGGGACUGCUCCCUCUGCUCCUGAGGUCUCCUGAGAUAGGAAGGGUUCUGUUCUGGCCUGAAACUUGCUUUGAAGCCAAGGAUGACCUUGAACUUCUGGUUCUCCUGGCUCUGCCUCCUAAGUAUUGGACUUACAGCACAGAGCCUUCUAUCCCAGCGCCACUUCCCAGCACUCUGGCCAGGUGUGGCCAGUGGAACCAGACCCAGUGAGGAACCCCAGCUGAGGACACAGGAAGUUCUUUGCGUCCCAUUUCUCCUGUUCUGGACAGAUGCUGAGAUGAGGUCUGGCUGAAGAGCAAGUGGUCCCUGGCAGAGAGCAAAGCAACAGUGUUGAGAGACCCAAGUCCCCAGGUGACAGGUGGGAGACGCUGAGCAACUCCCUUCUCCCUUCUGCUGCCAUUUCCAAGACAAAUAAAUGGUUUCCUUUGCUGCUUCUUGA